AGAGUUUGAUCAUGGCUCAGGAUGAACGCUAGCUACAGGCUUAACACAUGCAAGUCGAGGGGAAACGACAUCGAAAGCUUGCUUUUGAUGGGCGUCGACCGGCGCACGGGUGAGUAACGCGUAUCCAACCUGCCCACCACUUGGGGAUAACCUUGCGAAAGUAAGACUAAUACCCAAUGACGUCUCUAGAAGACAUCUGAAAGAGAUUAAAGAUUUAUCGGUGAUGGAUGGGGAUGCGUCUGAUUAGCUUGGUUGGCGGGGUAACGGCCACCAAGGCUACGAUCAGUAGGGGUUCUGAGAGGAACGGUCCCCCANAUUGGAACUGAGACACGGUCCAAACUCCGUACGGGAGGCA
rnacentral:rRNA from 1 species